UACAGGGGGUGCAAACGUUGCUCGGAAUCAUUGGGCGUAAAGCGCACGUAGGCGGUCUGUUAUGUCGGAUGUGAAAGCCCUUGGCUUAACUGAGGAAGUGCAUCCGAAACUGGCAGGCUUGAGGGCGAGAGAGGAGGGUGGAAUUCCUGGUGUAGCGGUGAAAUGUGUAGAGAUCGGGAGGAACACCGGUGGCGAAGGCGGGUCUCUGGGCAUUUCCUGACGCUGAGGCGCGAAAGCGUGGGGAGCAAACGGG
rnacentral:rRNA from 1 species